UGUGGUUCCAAGUGCCUGGGACCACGGGCACCCACACUCAUUUCCUGCUUGCCUGUCCCCACAUGCAACGGCUCCUGAAAAAGAGGAACCAAUUGCUGCUCAGAAUCCUUUUCACAGCUGACAACAGUUGGAUCCCCAUCCUCGGCAGCAAAGGUGUGACUGUUCUCCUGCCAUUCAAAAAAAAGAAGCCAGCAGGCCGAGGGGGAAGUGAGCUGCGGACAACCCAAGCCAUCAGAAAAAGAGAUGGUGCGCCUUUAAGAUGAAGGUGGUGGGCAACCAUCCAUCUUCCCUAAACACAGACUUGCCUUGUUCUUCCAUUUCUGGCUGAGUGAUAAAAACGUUAAAUGUCAUUUCCCGUAUCAGUGGUUAACCACUAGAUGCUGGAUCAGAGAUUUACCAGAAGUGCUGAAGUUAAGGAAAAAAAAAAAAAACCCUGCUGUUUUCAAUAACCCUUUCUUGCACCCUGUGGGAACUAUUUAACCUUUGUGGGGGGAGAGAGUGGGGUGCCAGGGGGCUGCUGGAUUUCGGCUGAACAAUACGUUUAGGAUUCGGUUUGCCGAGGACUCUCUUAAGCUUCGUACAGGAAGCCAAGAGAGACAGCAUGUCACGAUCCUGCCUCCCUCCCCAGGGAGUGCGUGUGUAAGUGCGGGCAAGGCAGGAGAAGGCAGACGUAAAAAUCUGCCACAUGCCUACUGUGCCCACCAUUGUCUCCAGAUAUCGACGGUCAUUUGGCCUUAUUGACCCCACAUUUCACAGAAGACCGUGGCUCUGGCUCUUCUGUUCCCCCAGCUUCCUGCAGCAUGCUCAGGAAAGUGAAGUGGUGGAGGCUUGGCUCAGCCCACCGCGUAAGGGACUGGAUCAACUUGCAGCCCUCCCACAGCUUUGCUCGAAGCCCCUCUAGUCUGCCCUGCAUUGUUUUGCCCUGGGCUGACCUCGAUGGGGACGAUGGGGACGACAACACACAAAGCCACCCUGGCUCCUCCCUGCUGCCUCCCCGGCUCCGUGGACCUCUCACAGGGCAGAUAAGACUGAAGAGCGACGCUGUGUUCCAGCAAUUGCAUUUCCUACCCCAGGCCGCCUAGGAUGUCCUGUGCACACACCAAGCACUCCUUGCACUUCAAGUACGUCUAAGAUGACCUACCGUCCUGGUUCGCCUGGGACUAAAGGGACUCAUAGUGGGUGGGACCUCUGUUAUUGUAACUGGGAAAGUCCCUGUCACACCGGAAUAAAAGGGUAACCCCAAUAGAAGUGUGUGACA
rnacentral:lncRNA from 1 species